rnacentral:rRNA from 1 species
CCACUGUAUUGCCCUAGUACGGCGAGUGAACAGGCAAGAGCUCAGAUUUGAAAGGCACUUUUGUGCCGUUGUAUUCUGAAGUUAGGGUCCUGAGAAACGAUGCUUAAGUCUUCUGGAAAGGAGCGCCAUGGAGGGUGAUAGCCCCGUCUAGCAUUGACCUCAUAUAGGAUCUUAACAUGGAGUCGAGUUGUUUGGGAAUGCAGCUCAAAUGGGUGGUAUGCUCCAUCUAAAGCUAAAUAUCUGCGAGAGACCGAUAGUAAACAAGUACUGUGAGGGAAAGAUGAAAAGAACUUUGAAAAGAGAGUGAAAAAGUACGUGAAAUUGUUGAAAUGGAAGGGUAGGCCGCUAACCAUGUAGAGCCGUGUUUGGGGGGAAGAUAAAUGCUGUAGAAUGUAGCUCCUCGGAGUAUUAUAGAUGCAGUUCAUAUUCCCACCCGAGCGCGAGGAUCUCAGGUUCUACUAAAUGGUGGUCUACCACCCGUCUUAAUCUGACCACAGUACAAUUCGGCCAGGGGGAGAGGAUGGCGCUCCUUUGGGAAGAUGGACGGCAACUUUUAGACUGUCUGCACUAUAUACUACAAAAAAAAAAAUCCCCCAAAACGGGGUCUCUUGGUUGUUGGGGCCAACCCCCCGUUCAACAACUAUCACGUACAUUUUCACUCUCUAUUCAAAGGUUCUGUUCUCCUUUCUUCCAGUAGUUGUUUAACAAUGGUCUCUUCGAUUUUUUGCUUUUGAUGGAGGAGACCCCCCCCUUAGCUGCGUCCACCCACUGUCCCCUGUUAGAGUCUACAUUAGGCACUGCUUGGACGGGGUGUUACAUCCGCGCGUCUUCUCCAGACAUAUACAUGCUUGUUAGUCCUCCACUUCGUAGCAAGAGCAGAGGGGCCGGUACAUCUCACGUAGCUGCGUGUCGACUCCAGGGGAUCCUGCAGGAUUUUAUUCUCCCGCUAUUGAGGUGCGACGCAUC